rnacentral:rRNA from 1 species
GACGAACCGUGCGAACGUUAUUCGGAAUCACUGGGCUUAAAGCGCGUGUAGGCGGGCCGGCACGUCCGUCGCUGAAAUCCCCCGGCUCAACCGGGGAAGUGGCACGGAUACGACCGGCCUGGAGGGGGGUAGGGGGCGCUGGAACUCACGGUGGAGCGGUGAAAUGCGUUGAGAUCGUGAGGAACGCCCGCGGCGAAAGCGAGCGCCUGGACCCUUUCUGACGCUGAGACGCGAAAGCCAGGGGAGCGAACGGG